rnacentral:misc_RNA from 1 species
CCUAGCGAAGCCCUGUAUAAAAGCCCCACUUUCUCCAUUUCUGCAGACUCAGUCUCCGUGCCUCUCAAUCUUAGAUUUUCCGUCUCUUACCCUUGAAAGGUCUGUGAUUUUAGAUCUGUAGGAUACUGUAAUCGAUCAGCAAUGGCGGAGACAGAGACGUUUGCUUUCCAGGCCGAGAUCAAUCAGUUGCUCAGUUUGAUCAUCAACACCUUCUACAGCAACAAGGAGAUCUUUCUCCGUGAGCUUAUCAGUAAUGCCUCCGAUGCUCUGGAUAAAAUCAGAUUUGAGAGCUUGACAGACAAAAGCAAGCUUGAUGCUCAACCUGAGCUCUUCAUCCAUAUUGUCCCUGACAAAAGUAACAAUACAUUGUCCAUCAUUGACAGUGGUAUUGGCAUGACAAAGGCUGAUUUGGUAAACAAUCUUGGUACCAUCGCCAGGUCUGGUACCAAAGAAUUUAUGGAGGCCUUGGCUGCUGGAGCAGAUGUUAGUAUGAUUGGGCAGUUUGGUGUUGGUUUCUACUCAGCAUACUUGGUUGCUGAGAAGGUCAUUGUUACCACCAAGCACAAUGAUGAUGAACAGUAUGUCUGGGAGUCCCAGGCUGGAGGGUCAUUCACUGUCACCAGAGAUACUUCUGGCGAGAACCUUGGUAGAGGUACAAAAAUUACUCUAUUCCUCAAGGAAGACCAACUUGAGUACCUUGAGGAGGGCCGCCUUAAGGACCUGAUCAAGAAGCACUCUGAGUUUAUUAGCUAUCCAAUCUCUCUCUGGAUUGAGAAGACUACUGAGAAGGAGAUAUCUGAUGAUGAGGAUGAGGAGGAGAAGAAAGAUGAGGAAGGGAAGGUUGAGGAUGUUGACGAGGAGAAAGAGAAGGAAGAAAAGAAGAAGAAGAAGAUCAAGGAGGUGUCCCAUGAGUGGUCAUUGGUGAACAAGCAGAAACCAAUCUGGAUGAGGAAGCCAGAGGAAAUCUCAAAGGAAGAGUAUGCUGCUUUCUACAAGAGCCUUACCAAUGAUUGGGAGGAGCAUUUGGCUGUAAAACACUUCUCAGUGGAGGGCCAACUUGAGUUCAAGGCCAUCCUUUUUGCUCCCAAGAGGGCUCCUUUUGAUCUGUUUGACACAAGGAAGAAGCCUAACAACAUCAAGCUCUAUGUGCGGCGUGUUUUCAUCAUGGACAACUGUGAGGAGUUGAUUCCCGAGUAUCUUGGAUUUGUGAAGGGUAUUGUUGAUUCUGAGGACCUUCCCCUCAACAUCUCAAGAGAGAUGUUGCAACAGAACAAGAUCCUCAAAGUUAUCCGCAAGAACUUGGUGAAGAAGUGCAUUGAGCUCUUCUUUGAGAUUGCUGAGAACAAGGAAGAUUACAACAAAUUCUACGAGGCAUUCUCUAAGAACCUCAAGCUUGGCAUCCAUGAAGACUCCCAAAACAAGUCAAAGCUUGCUGAAUUGCUUCGGUACCACUCCACCAAGAGUGGUGAUGAGUUGACUAGUCUCAAGGACUAUGUGACCAGAAUGAAGGAGGGCCAAAACGAUAUUUACUACAUCACUGGUGAAAGCAAGAAGGCAGUUGAAAAUUCUCCAUUCCUUGAGAAGUUGAAGAAGAAGGGUUAUGAAGUCCUCUUCAUGGUUGAUGCCAUAGAUGAGUAUGCUGUUGGUCAGCUCAAGGAGUUUGAGGGCAAGAAGCUUGUUUCUGCCACCAAGGAAGGUUUGAAAAUUGAUGAAAGUGAAGAUGAGAAGCAAAAGAAGGAAGAACUGAAGCAGAAGUUUGAGGGUCUCUGCAAGGUAAUCAAGGAUGUGCUGGGAGACAAGGUAGAAAAGGUUGUGGUCUCAGACCGUGUUGUUGAUUCUCCCUGCUGUUUGGUCACUGGUGAAUAUGGGUGGACUGCCAACAUGGAAAGAAUUAUGAGAGCACAAGCCUUGAGGGACAACAGCAUGGCUGGGUACAUGUCAAGCAAGAAGACCAUGGAGAUCAAUCCUGAAAAUCCUAUCAUGGAUGAACUGAGGAAGAGAGCAGAUGCUGACAAGAAUGACAAGUCAGUCAAGGAUCUUGUGCUGCUGCUAUUCGAGACUGCCCUUCUCACAUCUGGUUUCAGCCUUGAUGACCCCAAUACCUUCGGCAACAGAAUCCAUAGGAUGUUGAAGCUGGGAUUGAGCAUCGACGAGGAUGCUGGUGAGGGAGAUGCUGACAUGCCAGCCCUGGAGGAAGCUGAUGCUGAUGCUGAUGCUGAGGGUUCCAAGAUGGAGGAAGUUGAUUAAGAGUUUAGCCUUACUUCGAUCAACUUUUUAAUUUAUAUGAUUAUGUUUUGGUACUGAUUCUGAUAGUGUUUUGGAACUUAUUUAGAUGGUUUGGACUUUUUUUUUAUUUGAAAUAUUAUCUCUUGUUAUGCAGUAAGGUCAGCGAAUUUCUACUGCUUGUCAGUCAAGUCUAGUCUUUUUUUAUUGUUUUAUUUUUUGCAAUUGCAAUUGAUUUGCAUUAAAAGGGCUAAAUUCCCAGCAACCUUUACAAGGGGUGUGGGCUGUAGCUAAAAAAAAAAAACAAAGUCGGGCCUUUAGAAUAAACAAUUUAAAGUAAGCGUAACAGAGGUACAAAUGUGAGAAUACUAGCCACGCCACUGGCUUCUGGUUUUGUAUUUGACAUUACGAAACAGCUUAAAGCAAAUAUUGCUUUGAUCCCCAAAGUUUGAGUAAUCAGAAAUAGAGAAGUUGGGAGAUGAUGGCGGCAAGAACUCGAAGACGGACAGAUGAUUUCAUAUUGAAACUCUACAUCUCCAGGUAUCUCGACAUCUCUAGAGCUUGACCUUAAUCGUGAAAAUUGACAGAUGAAUGUGUGAUGUAUUUUUAAUUAAUUUUAAAAUAUAAAUAAUGUAAAAGAAUAUAAUUAUUGAAAAAUAUGUGAUUCAUCUUAAAUUUUUAUUGAAUUGUGAUUAUAUGAAAUAGUUUUAUUAUUUAGUGUAUGGAUGAAUU